GAGAAUCCCACGCACCGAAGACCCAAGGUUUCCAGAGGAAGGUUCGUCCGCUCUGGGUAAGUCGGGACCUAAGGCGAGGCCGAGAGGCGUAGUCGAUGGACAACGGGUGGAUAUUCCCGUACCUGGCGUGAGGGCGAUGGAGUGACGGAGAAGGCUAGGCGAUCCAGCUGCUGGAAUAGCUGGUGCAAGCGAGGUAGGGGACAUCCAGGCAAAUCCGGAUGUCAUAACCCGAAGACGUGAAGCGUAUGGAACAUUACGAUAAGUACAGAAGUCGCCGAAGCCAUCUUCCAAGAAAAGCUUCUAGCGAUACCUCAAGUCAGCCCGUACCGAAAAUGGACACACAUGGGUGAGGAGAGAAUCCUAAGGUGAGCGAGAGAACUAUAGCUAAGGAACUCUGCAAAAUGACUCCGUAACUUCGGGAGAAGGAGUGCUCAGUGAAAGCUGAGCCGCAGUAAAACGGCCCAAGCGACUGUUUACCAAAAACACAGCUCUCUGCCAAGACGCAAGUCGAAGUAUAGGGGGUGACGCCUGCCCGGUGCUGGAAGGUUAAGAGGAGUGGUCAGUCUUAAGGCGAAGCCAUGAAUUGAAGCCCCAGUAAACGGCGGCCGUAACUAUAACGGUCCUAAGGUAGCGAAAUUCCUUGUCAGGUAAGUUCUGACCCGCACGAAAGGCGUAACGAUUUGGGCGCUGUCUCAGCUGUAGACUCGGUGAAGUCUUAGUACCUGUGAAGAUGCAGGUUACCCGCGACUAGACGGAAAGACCCCAUGGAGCUUUACUGUAGCUUGAUAUUGGAUUUUGAUGCAUGAUGUACAGGAUAGGUAGGAGACAAAGAGACGGAUACGCCAGUAUUCGAGGAGUCGACGUUGGGAUACUACCCUUGAUGCAUUGAAGUUCUAACCGGACGUCGUGAAGCCGAUGACGGGACAGUGUCAGGUGGGCAGUUUGACUGGGGCGGUCGCCUCCCAAAGAGUAACGGAGGCGCCCAAAGAUACCCUCAGCAUGGUUGGAAAUCAUGCGCAGAGUGCAAAGGCAGAAGGGUGUUUGACUGCGAGACAUACAGGUCGAGCAGGGACGAAAGUCGGGCUUAGUGAUCCGGCGGUGCCGAAUGGAAGGGCCGUCGCUCAACGGAUAAAAGCUACCCUGGGGAUAACAGGCUGAUCUCCCCCAAGAGUUCACAUCGACGGGGAGGUUUGGCACCUCGAUGUCGGCUCAUCGCAUCCUGGAGCUGAAGUCGGUUCCAAGGGUUGGGCUGUUCGCCCAUUAAAGCGGUACGCGAGCUGGGUUCAGAACGUCGUGAGACAGUUCGGUCCCUAUCUGUCGUGGGCGUAGGAAGUUUGAGGAGAGCUGCCCUCAGUACGAGAGGACCGGGGUGGACAGACCAAUGGUGCACCAGUUGUCACGCCAGUGGCACAGCUGGGUAGCUAAGUCUGGAAGGGAUAAACGCUGAAGGCAUCUAAGCGUGAAGCCCCCUCCAAGAUGAGACUUCCCAUUUCGAAGGAAAGUAAGACCCCUCUAAGACGAAGAGGUUGAUAGGUCAGGGGUGUAAGCAUGGCGACAUGCUGAGCUGACUGAUACUAAUAGGUCGAGGGCUUAACCUA
rfam:Candidatus Stoquefichus sp. KLE1796 genomic scaffold Scaffold11, whole genome shotgun sequence.